GCGAUGACGGGUAGGGGACCUGAGAGGGUGGCCCCCCACAAUGGAACUGAAACACGGUCCAUACACCUACGGGUGGCAGCAGUAGGGAAUAUUGGUAAUGUGCGAAAGCGCGAACCAGCAACGCCGCGUGUGCGAAGACGGCCUUCGGGUUGUAAAGCACUUUUCGGGAGGAAGAGGAAGGACUGUACUCCCGGAAUAAGUCUCGGCUAACUACGUGCCAGCAGCCGCGGUAAUACGUAGGAGGCAAACGUUAUCCGGAUUUACUGGGCGUAAAGCGCGUGCAGGCUGUUCAAUAAGUUGGGCGUGAAAGCUCCCGGCUCAACUGGGAGAGGUCGUUCAAUACUGUUGGACUAGAGGAUGGUAGAGGAAGGUGGAAUUCCGGGUGUAGUGGUGAAAUGCGCAGAUAUCCGGAGGAACACCAGUGGCGAAAGCGGCCUUCUGGACCAUUCCCGACGCUCAGACGCGAAAGCUAGGGUAGCGAACGGGAUUAGAGACCCCGGUAGUCCUAGCUGUAAACGAUGUGAACUUGGCGUCGGUGGGAUUAAAUCCAUCGGUGUCGUAGCUAACGCGAUAAGUUCACCGCCUGAGGACUACGGCCGCAAGGUUAAAACUCAAAGGAAUUGACGGGGACCCGCACAAGCAGCGGAGCGUGUGGUUUAAUUCGUUGCUACACGAAGAACCUUACCUGGGUUUGACAUAUAGGUUGUAGGGAACUGAAAAGGGACCGACCCUUCGGGGAGCCUAUACAGGUGUUGCAUGGCUGUCGUCAGCUCGUGUCGUGAGAUGUUCGGUUAAGUCCGCUAACGAGCGCAACCCUCGCCGUAUGUUAUACGUGUCAUACGGGACUGCCGGUAAUAAGCCGGAGGAAGGUGGGGAUGAUGUCAAGUCAGCAUGACCUUUAUAUCCAGGGCUACACACACGCUACAAUGGUCUGUACAAUGGGUAGCCAAGCCGCGAGGCGGAGCCAAUCCUGAAAGCAGGCCUCAGAUCAGAUUGCAGUCUGCAACCCGACUGCAUGAAGCCGGAGUUGCUAGUAACCGCAGGUCAGCAAUACUGCGCUGAUACGUUCCCGGGUCUUGUACACACCGCCCGUCACGUCAUGGAAGCUGGCAACGCCUGAAGUCGGUAUCCUAACCCUCACGGGAAGGAGCCGCCUAAGGCGGGGU
rnacentral:rRNA from 1 species